rnacentral:lncRNA from 1 species
CCACCUGACAGAACGCCUUGAUAAUCUUCAACCUGUGCACUUACACCGACCAAGAAAUAUACAUUUCUUGAAUCAGGCUGGCUUUUGGGGAGGACCCACUUUUCAUCGCAGUGAUAACCUGUGAUCCCAAGGUACCGGAGCCAGAGGGUCAGAGAACAUCCACCAGUUUGGACGAGGGAGCUGAGAAGUGACUCAACCCAGUCCGGGUUGAAUCUAGAAGACUCAGCCCCGGGGGCAGUCCCGAAACGUUCAGCCUCUCUCCUCAGACUCACAGGUGCAGCUCUCAUCAUUGUCUUCUGGAUUUUAGCAACUGGGCCCAUCUCAAAGAAGCCACAACCUGUCCGGUUUGCAAACCCAAACGUGUGUCCUGUUUACUCCUGUCACUUGACGGUUGCUUCUUCUCACUGGUGGUUCUCCCCAGGCAAGGGACUUGCUGGUUACUUCCGUCCCCUCCCCUGCACACCGGAGCCCUGAGAAGCUCUUUGCCGCAUCCCGGCUGCCGGGGCAGCUCUGCGUGUCCCCGCUUUCCGUAUGCUCUGGAGACAUCCCUGCUCCUUCCAGAGCCGUGUGCACGUGCGUGUGCUUGCUCCUGCCUGCUCUCCUCGUCCUCGCCUUGCCCAUCCGAAGGGCCGGGAGGCCAUCGGAACCACGUGCUGAUGACAUUUAAAGGACAUCUUGAAAGUAACACAACAACAAGGGGAUGAAAAUAAGGCACCAAAGAAAAGGACCCCGAUCCUGAAAGACUAAGGCUUCAAGUGACACAGACCCCACGAGCAGGUACAGCCUCCUGUCCGUGCAAGGGGCGCGAGGAGGGCUGUGGGUCACAUUGUGUCCCCCCCACCCCCCAGAAGCUGGAAAGGACAAGGAUGCGCCCUUUAGGGGCCUCAGAGAGAGAGAGAGCGGGGCCCUGCAGACACAGUGACUGUGGGCUUCUGGCCUUCUGCACGGUGCCAGAGGACGUGUCUGUGGUUUUAAGCCCGCCGGUCGGUGCAAUUUUGUUACAGCGGCCAUAGGAAACUGAUACAAUGAGGGAACAACGGAAAUAAACAUCCUCUCUAGAGAUAGCUGUGAAGUGUG